UACAAAGGCUGCGUUGUUGGUUCAAGGCUC
rnacentral:piRNA from 1 species